UCUCUCUCUCCUUCUGUGCCUCCCCGCCUUCCUCUCUCUCUCUCUCUCUCUCUCUCUCUCUCUCUCUCUCUCUCUUUCUCUCUUUCCCUUGUUCACUCUCUCAUAAAAAAGAAAUUGGGUCCUGUGGCGUCAGAGGCGUUAGGCUGGGCCCAGGAACCUGCAUGGUCAGUGUGCAUCCCUGGCCUGGUCUAGAUCUAACGAUCUUUGCUUCCCAAGGCAGCCUCACUUGCCCAGGGUCAGGGGCCAAGCUCCUCAGGAAGUUGCUACCACAUUGUUAGCAGUUUGAUUCUGCCGAACUACCCUGGGAAAGUCCCACCCUGGGGGCCAGUCUAGGUGAGCGGUGCUUCGAGUCCCAUAUAGGUCCUGGAGCCUCCAACCACCCUGACUGGCAGCCAUUGCACAAGACUGGGGGGCCCGGCUUACCAAGUGCUUCCCAUACCCCGGUCCCUGUGGGUCACUCAGCUGACCCUCUCCAUGGCCCCCUGAGCUGUGGAUUUCAGAGUCGGGAGCUGGGGUGCAGGGAGGCUGAAUGGCAGAGCUGUGAGUUGGGUGUUGGCCGACUGUCCACGCCACUGCUGGUAAGACAUCGCUUCACAGUAAAUUAGUAGCCAGUUGCCCUAGACCCUCAGUCCGGGUCCCAGAACGUGAUGCCAUGACUCCCGGGUCUUGGUGGUCUCCCAGCCUCCUGGCACGGGUUUUUUCUGCUCCUCUGCACUGCUGCCUGGUGGGUCCAGAGGCUCUGAGGCUUGCAAGAUAUAGCCGGCAGCAGGGUGCUGUUCUGCAUAGCUGGGCCUAGGAAUCAUCCAUGGCCUUGGGCCGUUUCAUACGUGUGUCUGACCCUUGGGAUGAACAGGUCGCUGUGAGUUGGGAUGCUUGUCCGGGAGCCGGGGGUAGUAAGUACACAGCCCCGGGGUUGGGCAGGUCACCGUGGAUGGUUCACCAGUCUCCUUGGGAGCAGCUUUCCUGUUGGGGUGUAUGGGUGGACGAUGUCAGAACCCUUCACUCUCUUACGUGUAUGUGACACCACAGGCACCCGAGUGGAUCCCCAGGAGGUAUAGGUAUUGCAGCUUGGGAUGCUGUGAUAUGGAGCAUCAGAGGGCCUGCAGGCAGCCGUGCUGCAAACUCGAUGGAGGUGUGACCUUGAUCUGACUCCCACGUCUCCUGGACUUCUCCACCUGGAGGUCCAGGACCCCACAUCAGACUCAGGAUGCGUCCACCCCAGCUCACUCUCCCCUCGCUUGGCCUUGGCUGCUCUCAAGGGCCUCAGGUGCAUCGUGGACACGUGGCAGGUUGGGCUCCAGACCACUUCAGGGAAGCAAGUACUGCAAGAAAGCCAGUCAAGUAAGUUCCUUGCCUUCCUGGUGUAUAAAAGUUAUGUUUACACUAUACUGCAGCUUAUUAAGUGUGCAGUAGCAUUCCACCUAAAAAAAUGACAUUCAGACCAUGAAAAGAUCCCUUAUUGCUCAAAAAUGCCGACCAUCAUUUGAGCUUCCAGCAACUCACACUCACCGAUCCUAGAUUGCUGUAACAAACAGAAUAAUAAACAAGUUUGAAGUACUGUGAAGAUGACCAAAACGGGACGCAGAGACAAAGUGAACAAAUGCUUUUGGGGAAAUGGUGCGGAGAGACUUGCUGGACAUGGGGUUGCCACGAACACCCCCUUUGCAAGAAGCAGGAUAAAGUGAAGCACAGCAAAAGGAGGUAAGCCUGUGAAACAGACGCAUCCCAAGACCUAAUAUCUGUAUUAACGUCUGAGGAUUUUCAUCUGUUUCUCCGUGGAGACCCAAGGGGGGCUGAGGGAUCUCCAGGGACAGGACAAGGCCGUGAGGAGGGGUUCUGGGAGUGGGAAGGGCUGCCUAAGUGCACACACCUGCUCCAGAACAUCUGCUGCUCCCGGGCGCUCUCUCUGGCUGCCCUGACUGACUGGUGUAAACCACUGGAAAUUCAGCUUAUGGUUCCAGAGACCAGAAGGUGCCGGCAGGGCCACCCGCUCUUGGGAGGGUCCUUUCUGAGUCAUCCGGUUUCUGCUGGCUAACUCCCAACUAUUCCCUGAGGCUGCAAACCCCUGUCCCCAGGCUCUGUCACGUGUCUCUCCACUGUGUCUCUCACAAUGAUGUUUGUUGCCAGACUUAGGGGCCCCUCCCUGCACCUCUACCCCCUUGACCAUCCAGGAUGUUCUCAUCUUGUGAAUGUUGAUUGCAUCCACAGACUGUUUGGAAAGAAGAUGACAUUCACAGGGUCUGCAUGGACACACCUUUCUGGGAGCUCCCAGUCCCCCCACACUGUGUCCAGGCUUUGCUGCUGGGGGCUGCUGUAUCUGUACCCCCAGAUCUGUGCAAAGCCCGGCUGCUGCUGCCCACCUGACUGUCUGAGCCCCUCUUCCCGGGGAUGCUGGCCAUGAGUUGAGAGUUUAAGAUCGAGGGCUGGUAAAGUCCGUGAAGUGUGUCCAGGUAGAGACAGAACGCUUGUCCUCUUCCUUCUCUCCUUCUCCCAUUAAGAUCCUUUUCUACUUUGGAAAAAAAAAAAAAGAAAAAGACAUGGUGCUGAAAAAAAAAAAAAAAAGGCAGGUCAUUGAGAACUGGCAGUGCCCUGGGCGGCUGGACCCCAGCUGCGGCCUUGAGGAGUGUGGGGAGGGAGGCUCGCGGAGGACCCUCUGGGCCCCUAAGGCGGUGCUGCAGAGGCUCAUGUUGGAGUUUCAUGAGAGCAAGGGUGGUGAGAAGUGACCAAAGCUGUGCUUCCUCAUUUGCAUGCUGAGCUUCCCUAAGUUUGUCCGGAGCUGUGAGGACAGUUUCUGGUGGCUUGUGACACAUAAGGUCUCUCUGAUCCUUUCUUCAUAGGAAUAUGGUCUCCAAAAGCAAACAUUUAAAGUGGGUUUUUUCUUUUUUUUUUUUUUGCUAAGUGUACUGCGAACACAAAUGGGACACACAUGUGCAUUUAAUUGUAGCACACGUUAGAAGUAUGGGCAGAGGACACUUCUUCUUCGAGGGCCCUGUGUAGCACCGAGUCCUUGCUUCCUCACCACUUGGCCUGCACGCCGGCCUUCUGUGCGUGCACAUGCAGAUUGCAUCCUGUCUCCGUGGAGCUGGGAGGGAGAGCCACCUGUGUUGGGAACCAUGUGGGUCCCAAGCAGACAAAACAGGGAACAGCUCCGUCCUGAAGCCGAUUUCUAAUCUGGGCACCCUGGAGCAGACAAGGCUCUAUCACAGAAUCAACAUACUCUCAGCCUCCAAACCACAGAGCAAGAAUCUGUGGCAGGCAGAGGAGGAAGGCGGCCAGCCCUUUCCUCCCCAUCUUCCCACGGGGUGGGUUUGUUUUCACCAUGUGUCCUUGAGAACCGAAUUUGGACUUAAAAAAUGAUUCCUCCAAAAGAAAUGAGAUCCUUAUGGUUCGGGGUCCUGGAGCUGAACCAUUUGGAGGCAUUCUCUGGACCCCCUGCCCCAUCCCAUCGGGAGCCUCCUGGUGGGGGCCUUGGUCUGUAGGUGACCCAGCCCAUCCCACAGUGGGCCUCCCCAUAGUGCCAGGCUUUUGAGGCAGAGGGCUUGGUGCCCAAACUCACUGUGGAGGGGCUCUGGCUGCCCCCAACUUUGGGAGCUUUACUGCAAGUGGUCGCUGACUCCACGGAGGAAACGUGCUGCGGUUUCACCCCAAGCCUGCAGGGCGGUGAUGGUAGCCAGUGUUGAUCAUCCUCAAAUCAAGUUCCUGAGGCUUCUUGUUCCCACUCGGAGGGAUAGUGAACCCAGGACCGAAGGCAGUCACCCGGGAAGUCUCAGGCUGGGUUUGGGCCUGGGUGGGGAGUCUGUGCCGAGAGGACCCAGGGGAGGGGACCAGAGCCCUGCAAGGGACGGGGUGGGCAGGGGGUAGACAUGGCCACAGCGAGACUCGGAAAUGUUCCCACUGCUCACACGGAGGAGUGCAGGGCCAGGGCGGUGGGGACAUUGGUGGUGGCCUGUGCAGGGCGUUUGCAGGGGCUCUGAUUGCCUGGCACAUCCAGAGUCCCCCAGGCCUGCAGGUUUAUGGUGUGGGGGGAAUGCCCUAGGACAAUGGUUCAGAAGGGGCCGGAACAGGGUUGCAGGUGUCAGUCAGUAGUCAGCAGUCCUGUCUGGAAGACCGCAUCUGUCCUGGCUGCGGAAGAGCCAGGCAGACAGUGGGGACCUCAAGGAACCCCCUUUGGUGCUCCAGGCCCAGAUCUGUAACUUGAGGUGGGGGCCUCUAAGUAUUAGAGGGAGAUAGGGUAAUAAUGAGAUUCCUGUCAAUACAACAGACUGAUGUAGAUGUGUGUGCCCGGCACGUGUUUCUAUGCUGCAGGACGUGUUGUGAGUGCUGUGUACACACACGUAUGCAUACACAGACAAUGCAUGUGCACUGAGCUGUGACCCCCUCCUAAUUCACACGGCCUCACCACUGCUGUGACUGUGAGGGGGUAUCUACAAUGAGUGAGGUCGAUGGCACCGGAGGAGGAAGAGGAAGAGGAGGCGGGAGGGCCAGGUCUCUGCACAUGCACUCCCUGAGGAAAGGCCACAUGGGGGCACGGUGGGGGGCCGGGGGCGGGACGGUGGCUGUUUACACCUGGACCAGGGCUCUCACCCAUCCCGACCUGGCCAGCACCCUGAUCGCCCACUUCUAGCCUCCAGAACGCUGAGGAGGGACACCGGUAGUUGAAGCCGCUGGCUCUGGUGCUGUGUUAACGGUGGCCACUCUGGGACACACCUGUUUACUCUGCAUGCUUGGGACGUGCUAGCUGGUCAGUCGGUCAGCCAGUAAUGGUCCGUCAAUAAAGAGUCACGUACUUUUA